GAUGAACGCUGGCGGCGUGCUUAACACAUGCAAGUCGAACGGAAAGGCUCCUGCUUGCAGGGGUACUCGAGUGGCGAACGGGUGAGUAACACGUGGGUGAUCUGCCCUGCACUUCGGGAUAAGCCUGGGAAACUGGGUAUAAUACCGGAUAGGACAUCAUUUAGGACGGGGUGGUGGAAAGUUUUGCGGUGUUGGAUGAGCUUGUGGCCUAUCAGCCUGUUGGUGGGGUAAUGGCUGACGAAGCCGUCGACGGGUAGCCGGCUUGGGAGGGUGGACGGCCACAUUAGGACUGAGAGAGGGCGCAGACGGCUACGUGAGGCAGCAGGGGGGAAUAUUACACAAUGAGCGCAAGUCAGAUGCGGCGACGCCGGGUGCGGGAUAACGGCCUUCGGGUUGUAAACUACUUUCGCUAUAGACGAAGCGCAAGUGACGGUACCUGGAGAGGAAGCACCGGCUAACUACGUG
rnacentral:rRNA from 1 species